CACUGAUUGUACGCGCGGUGUCGACACGCGUGUGCUGUUCGUCGUCUGCGUCUCGUCGUCGUCGUCGUCGUCUGCGUCGCGGUCGUCGUGUGGUGCGUGUUUGUGUUUAUUUUUUUUUCUUGUGUCGUCGCCCCGUCUGUCCGAUCACAUUGUCCGCCGACGCCGUCGCGCAAAACACAAAUUUUAUUAUUAAUCAUUUUUAUUAAUCGCCACCCCGAUAAUAAAUACGAUCAUUUUUUUU